CAGCACUACUCACACUGGGGGAAAAUAACCUUUUUGGCGGCGAAACCCCUCUUCCCAUCGGGGUGUCCACCACAAAUACCUACCCAGAUAUUAAUACUUAAGCCUAAUUUUUAUCAUAUUUAGAAUGGGACAAGCACAAUCUUCCAAUCAAGCCUAAACAUGAUGUGUGGAACAAGGGGACCACACAGAUAGGAAGAUCCCCAGCAUGAUGAC